CCUACGGGAGGCUGCCGUGAGGAAUAUUGGUCAAUGGGCGCGAGCCUGAACCAGCCAAGUAGCGUGAAGGAUGACUGCCCUACGGGUUGUAAACUUCUUUUAUAAAGGAAUAAAGUGAGGCACGUGUGCCUUUUUGUAUGUACUUUAUGAAUAAGGAUCGGCUAACUCCGUGCCAGCAGCCGCGGUAAUACGGAGGAUCCGAGCGUUAUCCGGAUUUAUUGGGGUUAAAGGGAGCGUAGAUGGGUUGUUAAGUCCGUGGUGAAAGUUUGCGGCUCAACCGUCAACUUGCCAUUGAUACUGGCAGCCUUGAUUACAUUUGAGGUAUGCGGCAUUCGUGGUGUCGCGG
rnacentral:rRNA from 1 species